GAUGAGAACGUAGCGAAAUGCGAUAAGUAAUGUGAAUUGCAGAAUUCAGUGAAUCAUCGAAUCUUUGAACGCACAUUGCGCCCCUUGGUAUUCCGAGGGGCAUGCCCGUUCGAGCGUCAUUAUACCCCUCAAGCCUAGCUUGGUGUUGGGGCCUGCUGUUACCGGCAGCCCUUAAAAUCAGUGGCGGUGCCAUCUGGCUCUAAGCGUAGUAAUACUUCUCGCUACAGGGUCCCGGUGGAUGCUUGCCAUCAACCCCUAAUUUUCUAUGGUUGACCUCGGAUCGGGUAGGGAUACCCGCUGAACUUAAGCAUAUCAAUAAGCGGAGGA
rnacentral:misc_RNA from 1 species